rnacentral:rRNA from 1 species
UACGUAGGGUCCGAGCGUUAAUCGGCAUUACUGGGCGUACAGCGUGCGCAGGCGGUUUUGUAAGCCAGAUGUGAAAGCCCCGGGCUCAACCUGGGAACUGCAUUUGGGACUGCAAGGCUGGAGUACGGCAGAGGGAGGUGGAAUUCCACGUGUAGCAGUGAAAUGCGUAGAGAUGUGGAGGAACACCGAUGGCGAAGGCAGCCUCCUGGGCUAGUACUGACGCUCAUGCACGAAAGCGUGGGGAGCAAACAGG